rnacentral:rRNA from 1 species
GUAGGGGGCGAGCGUUAUCCGGAAUCAUUGGGCGUAAAGGGCGCGUAGGCGGAUAUUUAAGUCAGGUGUGAAAACCCAGGGCUCAACCUUGGGAUUGCAUCUGAUACUGGGUAUCUUGAGGACAGGAGAGGAAAGUGGCAUUCCUAGUGUAGCGGUGAAAUGCGUAGAUAUUAGGAGGAACACCAGUGGCGAAGGCGACUUUCUGGACUGUAACUGACGCUGAGGCGCGAAAGCGUGGGGAGCAAACAGGAUUAGAUACCCUGGUAGUCCACGCCGUAAACGAUGAGUGCUAGGUGUAGGGGGUAUCGACCCCUCCUGUGCCGCAGUUAACACAAUAAGCACUCCGCCUGGGGAGUACGGCCGCAAGGUUG